CCAGCGCGUGCCCGCCCGGCGCCCUCUAGGGUGGAAGGCUGCGGGCGUCCUACCAGUGCCAGGACUGCCAGAGCGGGAGGAGCGCGGCGCGGGCCAGCCGGGACUGCUGGACAGCGGGGUCCAGGCUAGAGGCGAGCGAGCGGUCAGUGACGGCUGUGGAGGAGGGAGGCGCUGGGCGUCAGCGCGGGACCCGAGCCUCUGGACCACUGAGCUGGGGGGCUGGCUGAGGUCCACCUCCUAACAAAUUAUUGGAAGGAAUAUGAGAAAAAUGGAGUUUCACUCUUGUCACCCAGGCUGGAGUGCAAUAGAGCGAUCAUGGCUCACUGCAACCUCUGCCCCCCGGGUUCAAGCGAUUCUCCUGCCUCAGCCUCUCAAGUAGCUGGGAUUACAAGUGCCCACCACCACGCCCAGCUAAUUUUUGUAUUUUUAGUAAAGAUGGGGUUUCACCACAUUGGCCAGGCUGGUCUCUAACUCCUGACCUCACGUGAUUCAUCCAUCUCAGCCUCCCAAAGUGCUGGGAUUACAGGCAUGAGCCACUGUGCCUGGCCUAUACUUAUAUUUUCUUCUGUGAUUUUAAUAUUUUAGUGUUUAUGUUUUGGUCUAUGAUCCAUUUUGAGUAAAUUUUUAUAUUUGGUAUAAGGUAGGGGUCCAACUUUAUUUAUUUUUGAGAUGGAGGCUUACUCUAUUGCCCAGGCAGGCAUGCAAUGGUGCGAUCCAGCUCACUGCAACCUCUGUGUCCCAGGCUCAAGUGAUUCUCCCACCUCAGCCAUCUGAGUAGCUCGGAUUACAGGCCCCAUCACUAUGGUAAUUUUUAAAUUUUUAGUAGAGACGGGGUUUCACCAUGUUGGCCAGGCUGGUCUCGAACUCAUGACCUCAAGUGAUCUGCCCGCCUCUGCCCUACAAAGUGCUGGGAUUACAGGCGUGAGCCACCGUGCCUGGCCUCCAGCUUUAUUCUUUUUUUUUUUUUUUUUUUGAGACAGAGUCUUGUUCUGUCACCCAGGCUGGAGUGCUGGAGUGCAGUGGCGCGAUCUCGGCUCACUGCAAGCUCCGCCUCCUGGGUUCACGCCAUUCUCCUGCCUCAGCCUCCCGAGUAGCUGGGACUACAGGCGCCUGCCACCACGCCUGGCUAAUUUUUUGUAUUUUUAGUAGAGAUGGGGUUUCUCCAUGUUAGCCAGGAUGGUCUCGAUCUCCUGACCUCGUGGUCUGCCUGCCUCGGCCUCCCAAAAGUGCUGGGAUUACAGGCGUGAGCGACCAUGCCCGGCCAACUUUAUUCUUUUAGAUGUGGAUGUCUAGUUGUUCCAGAAGUAUCUGUUAAAAAUGUUACUCUUUCUCCAUUGGAUUAUUUUGGCAACCUUAUAAACAAUCAAUUGACCAU
rnacentral:lncRNA from 1 species